rnacentral:rRNA from 1 species
GGAUUGCCCUAGUAGCGGCGAGCGAAGCGGUAGCAGCUCAAAUUUGAAAUCUGGCCCCCUUGGGGUCCGAGUUGUAAUUUGCAGAGGAUGCUUCGGCGUCGGCUCCGGGAUAGGUCCCCUGGAACGGGGCGCCUCAGAGGGUGAGAGCCCCGUACUCGCCCGGGCGGCCGUCGCCAUGUGAAGCUCCUUCAAAGAGUCGAGUUGUUUGGGAAUGCAGCUCUAAGCGGGAGGUAUAUUUCUUCUAAAGCUAAAUACCGGCCAGAGACCGAUAGCGCACAAGUAGAGUGAUCGAAAGAUGAAAAGCACUUUGGAAAGAGAGUUAAAAAGCACGUGAAAUUGUUGAAAGGGAAGCUCUUGCCGCCAGACUUGCCCCGGUCGUUCAGCCACCCUGCGGGGUGGCGCACUCCUCCGGUAGGCAGGCCAGCGUCAGUUCGGGCGGUCGGACAAAGGCCGCGGGAAUGUAGCUCCCCUCGGGGUGUUUUAUAGCCCGCGGCGCAAUGCGGCCAGCCCGGUCUGAGGUACGCGUUCGCGAGGACGCUGGCGUAAUGGCAGCAAGCGACCCGUCUUGAAACACGGACCAAGGAGUCUAACAUCUGUGCGAGUGUUUGGGCGUCAAACCCAUGCGCGUAAUUAAAGUGAACGGAGGUUGGAACCCCCCCCGAGGGGCGCACAAUCGACCGAUCCUGAUGUCUUCGGAUGGAUUUGAGUAGGAGCAUAGCUGUUGGGACCCGAAAGAUGGUGAACUUUGCCUGGACAGGGCGAAGCCAGAGGAAACUCUGGUGGAGGCUCGCAGCGGUUCUGACGUGCAAAUCGAUCGUCAAAUCUUGGCAAAGGGGCGAAAGACUAAUCGAACCAUCUAGUAGCUGGUUCCCGCCGAAGUUUCCCUCAGGAUAGCAGUGACGACGACAGUUUUAUGAGGUAAAGCGAAUGAUUAGAGGCCUUGGGGUUGAAACAACCUUAACCUAUUCUCAAACUUUAAAUAUGUAAGAAGCCCUUGUUGCUUAACUGAACGUGGGCAGUCGAAUGGACCGUCACUAGUGGGCCAUUUUUGGUAAGCAGAACUGGCGAUGCGGGAUGAACCGAAAGCGAGAUUAAGGUGCCUGAAUUCACGCUUAUCAGACACCACAAAAGGUGUUGGUUGAUCCUGACAGCAGGACAGUGGCCAUGGAAGUCGGAAUCCGCUAAGGAGUGUGUAACAACUCACCUGCCGAAUCAACUAGCCCUGAAAAUGGAUGGCGCUCAAGCGUGAUACCCAAAUCUCGCCGCCGGGGCAGGACCGAAGCCCCGGCGAGUAGGCGGGCGCGGGGGUCAUGGUGACGAAGCCCAGGGGGUAACCUCGGGUAGAACGGCCCCCGGUGC